rnacentral:rRNA from 1 species
GGACAGAAAGACCCUAUGAAGCUUUACUGUAGUUUGGAAUUGGGUUCGGGCUCUUCUUGCGCAGCCUAGGUGGGAGGCUAUGAAGAUAAACUUUUGGGUUUAUUGGAGCCAACAGUGAGAGACCACUCUAGAGGAGCUAGAAUUCUAAUGGCGUUCCUUGAAGCAGGACGCUUGACAGUUUCAGAUGGGCAGUUUGACUGGGGCGGUCACCUCCUAAAAGGUAACGGAGGUGUGCAAAGGUUCCCUCAGGCUGGACGGAAAUCAGCCGUAGAGUGUAAAGGCAGAAGGGAGCUUGACUGCAAGACCUACAAGUCGAGCAGGGGCGAAAGCCGGCCUUAGUGAUCCGACGGUUCCGAGUGGAAGGGCCGUCGCUAAACGGAUAAAAGUUACUCUAGGGAUAACAGGCUGA